rnacentral:rRNA from 1 species
GAUGAACGCUGGCGGCGUGCCUAAUACAUGCAAGUCGAGCGAACAGAUGAGGAGCUUGCUCCUCUGACGUUAGCGGCGGACGGGUGAGUAACACGUGGAUAACCUACCUAUAAGACUGGGAUAACUUCUGGAAACCGGAGCUAAUACCGGAUAAUAUAUUAAACCGCAUGGUUCAAUAGUGAAAGACGGUUUUGCUGUCACUUAUAGAUGGAUCCGCGCCGCAUUAGCUAGUUGGUAAGGUAACGGCUUACCAAGGCAACGAUGCGUAGCCGACCUGAGAGGGUGAUCGGCCACACUGGAACUGAGACACGGUCCAGACUCCUACGGGAGGCAGCAGUAGGGAAUCUUCCGCAAUGGGCGAAAGCCUGACGGAGCAACGCCGCGUGAGUGAUGAAGGUCUUCGGAUCGUAAAACUCUGUUAUUAGGGAAGAACAAAUGUGUAAGUAACUAUGCACGUCUUGACGGUACCUAAUCAGAAAGCCACGGCUAACUACGUG